rnacentral:lncRNA from 1 species
GUUUUUAAUUAAAUGGGAAGAUCUCCUUGCUGAGAAAAGGCGCACUCCAACAAGUAGCUUGGACCAAAGAAGAAGAUGAUCUCUCUCGAUCUCUCUUUCUCUCCCCCAAAACCAACUUAGGGGUGGAUGUGGUACUGUAAACUCAAAAUUUCAUGUAAAUCGCAAACCGCCCGAGAAAUCGCGGUAUUGCAUUAUUUGAGAUCGCAAACCAGCCAAAGAGUUGAGGUUAAUCGCAACUCGGUGGAAUCGCAAAUCGGUCAAUGUCCACAACGGUAUUCACCGAUUGUGUUGUUUUGGGCCUAAACAAUCCAAGCAAUCCCAGAAAAUCCACCACCCUAACUAGGCCUGGAAAAAAAAAAAAGAGGGAGAGAAGAGAUGGAAACAGACAUAGAGAGGAAGAAGGAGGAAAAAAGAAAGAAAGAUAGAGGUAGAGAAGAAGUU